UACGUAGGGGGCGAACGUUAUCCGGGAUCAUUGGGCGUAAAGAGCUCGUAGGCGGUUCAACAAGGCGGCUGUGAAAGUCCGAGGCUCAACCUCGGAAUGGCAGUCGAUACUGUUGUGACUCGAGGCCGGUAGAGGAGAAUGGAAUUCCCGGUGUAGCGGUGAAAUGCGCAGAUAUCGGGAGGAACACCAGUAGCGAAGGCGGUUCUCUGGGCCGGCACUGACGCUGAGGAGCGAACGCGUGGGGAGCAAACAGG
rnacentral:misc_RNA from 1 species